GCCGGGUGGGGUGGCAGGCGCCUGUAAUCCCAGCUCCCCAGGAGGCUAAGGUCGGCGGAUCAUGGGUGCUUGGGAGUUCAGGGCUGCGGCUGUGUAGAGCAGGCGUCCGCACCGGGCCUGGCACCAACAUGGGGUUCCCGGGGGAGCCCGGGGGUGCCAGGUUGUCUAAGGAGUGGGGGACCAGGCCCAGGCCCGACACGGAGCAGGUGAAACUCCUCAUGCUGGGUGGCGGUGGGACCGCGCCCACGAGCAACACCUGCAGUUCCCCUCUGGACAUCCGACGAGACCCAGUCUCU
ensembl:misc_RNA Metazoa_SRP Metazoan signal recognition particle RNA